GAUGAAGAACGUAGCGAAAUGCGAUAAGUAAUGUGAAUUGCAGAAUUCAGUGAAUCAUCGAAUCUUUGAACGCACAUUGCGCCCGCCAGUAUUCUGGCGGGCAUGCCUGUUCGAGCGUCAUUUCAACCAUCAAGCCCCAGGCUUGUGUUGGGGACCUGCGGCUGCCGCAGGCCCUGAAAACCAGUGGCGGGCUCGCUGUCACACCGGGCGUUGUAGAUUUUAUCUCGCUCAGGGCGUGCUGCGGGUUCCGGCCGUUAAAAAGCCUUUUUUACCCAAGGUUGACCUCGGAUCAGGUAGGAAGACCCGCUGAACUUAAGCAUAUCAAUAAGCGGAGGA
rnacentral:misc_RNA from 1 species